rnacentral:misc_RNA from 1 species
GAAAUGCGAUAAGUAAUGUGAAUUGAAGAAUUAAGUGAAUCAUCGAAUCUUUGAACGCACCUUGCGCUCCUUGGUAUUCCGAGGAGCAUGCCUGUUUGAGUGUCAUGGAAUUCUCAACUCUAUUUGCUUUUGUGAAUAGAGCUUGGAUUUGGAGGUUUAUUGCUGGUACUUGUGAUCGGCUCCUCUUGAAUGCAUUAGCGCGAACCUUUGCGGAUCAGCUAUCGGUGUGAUAAUUGUCUACGCCGUUGCAGUGAAGCAUAUCAAUGGGCUCGGCUUCCAAUCGUCCUUUACUGGACAAUGACUUUGACCUUUGACCUCAAAUCAGGUAGGAUUACCCGCUGAACUUACGC